UUCAUGUCUUUUGUAUUAAAGAAUUAAAUGGAUGAAUUAUGAAGUUUUAUUAAAAGAAAAAGGGGUGAAAAGAACAAAUUUUUGUCCAUCUUUGUUCAUCAUAGCUGAAAGUUAGAGAAGAGAAAGGAGAGGAGAAAGCUCUUGAGUGUUCGGUCACUUGGGGAAGAAAAUUGAAGGUAACCCCCAACCAUAGUGGGCUUGGAGCUGUGAGGGAAUUCGGAGUGGCCACCCGUUCUGAAAGUUUGAUUUUCUUCUGGACCGUGAGUGAGUUGGAACAAGCAGCAGGCAAAAACAAAAAUUCACGCACACGGCAGGGUCGAGAAGUUUUGCUUCUGUAGCUGAGGCCGAGGAAGUCAAAUCUGGACAAAAAGUUGGACGCCUUCAGCUUUUUGAGAUUACGCAUAGGAAGAAAGAUGGAUCUCCUAUGACAUCUGAAGCUAGAGAAAUUAUGAUAUACUUACUUAAUAAUAUUUGAUUUUUUCUAAAUAUUUAUAAUCUUUAAUUAUAAUUGUUUAAUUCAAUUCAUCAUUAGUAGUUGUCGAAA